UACAGAGGCCUCGAGCGUUAAUCGGAGUCACUGGGCUUAAAGGGUGCGUAGGCGGUCCCGCAAGUGCUUUGUGAAAUCCCAUGGCUCAACCAUGGAAUUGCUUGGCAGACUGCGGGACUUGAGGUCGGUAGAGGUCGCUGGAACUCUAGGUGGAGCGGUGAAAUGCGUAGAUAUCUAGAGGAACGCCGAUGGUGAAGACAGGCGACUGGGCCGAUUCUGACGCUGAGGCACGAAAGCGUGGGGAGCAAACGGG
rnacentral:rRNA from 1 species